rnacentral:lncRNA from 1 species
GCAUUUUCACUGCAGACCGGAAAAAAAAAAGGAGGAAGAAGAAUAAACGCAGCGUGUGUACUUUAAAGUGUAACAGGUGGUGAGAAAUUGCAGGUUGAAGCAGAGAUGGAAAACCUUCCAAAUUCAAAGCUGAACGGCGAAGAGAAGAAGAAGGAAGCAGAAGAAAGAGAAGAUGAAGAAAGCUUCUCGCGUGCCAUGCAGCUUGUGAGCUCCGUNGUGCUACCGAUGGCAGUGCAAUCGGCGACGGAGCUGGGUGUGUUUGAGGUGCUGAAAGAAGCGGGUGAAGGUGCUAAGCUCUCUGCAAAGGACAUAGCNUCCAAGAUUUCCUGCACCAACCCAGAAGCAGCCUCAAUGCUAGAUCGUCUCCUCNCUCUUCUUUCCUCUCACUCCAUUCUUCACUCUUCCCUCGUUUCCGACAACCUUGUCCCUCCCACCUUUCACAGGCUCUACUCCAUCACUCCCCUCGCCACAUUCUUUGCUCGCAAUUCUGAUGGGGUUUCAUUGGGACCCUUGAUGGCCUUGCUCCAAGACAAAAUCUUCCUACACAGCUGGUUAAACUCUCUCUCUCUCUCUCUCUCUCUCUCUCUCUCUCUCUAAACUAUCUCUAUCAUUUUCCAUCACAAACGAUUUACACAAGGGAUCCCCUUUUAGCUUAAAUGAUUUAGACAGGAAGGAGAAAGAGAUUUUACUAUUCAAACUUUGCUUUCCAAACUACUUUACUUUCUUCGAUUCAAUUAACAAUGAAGAUGGAAAGUUGGUCGCACAAACUCGUGACCAGUUCUUUUUUGUUAUUGAAGGUUGUGAAAGGGGGUAAUGGUUUCUGCGUAAUCAUCUAAUUUGAGUGAGGUUUGGUUUUUUGACGGUAAAAUCGGUCUAGCUAUGAUUAGUAAUUAAUAAUCAUUAUCAGUUAUUAUGGCUGUGUGGAAUUUUUGGUCGUUGCUCAUGAACUUACGAAGUAUUUGGACAAAUUACGCUGUUAGAUACAUGUCAUUUUUUAUUCCUACAUGUCCACUUCAUUCAUUUUCUCUCUUGCUCAUAUGGAGACAACAGUUCAAAUUCAAUGAUGGUGAUAAGUGUUUCACUUAAAAUGAAAGAAUAAAACCGCACUACUGAGUCAAAAACAUGGUUUGGUAGACCGGUAUUAUGAUUGUAUGUGAAAUGACUGUGUUUUAACAAUCUCAGGACUGAGCUGAAAGAUGCAAUUCGGGAGGGCGGUAUUCCAUUCAACAGGGCGUAUGGCACCCAUGCUUUUGAGUAUCCAAGGUUGGACUCAAGGUUCAAUAAUGUUUUCAACACAGCAAUGAUUAAUCACACGACUUUGGUGAUGAAGAGGGUUCUGGAAUCCUACAAAGGUUUUGAGGGCAUAAAAAGGCUGGUGGAUGUUGGUGGUGGUCUUGGGAUCAACAUUAGCUUGAUCACUUCAAAAUACCCUCAUAUCCAUGGCAUCAAUUUCGACCUGCCUCACGUCAUUCAAGAUGCUCCUUCAUAUCCUGGUAUUAUCCUUACACAUUCUAACCCUGUUGUUGUGGAAAGUUCAAAAAAACAAAAAGGUUCUUUUCCACCUUUUAGACAGAGCAAUUUGCUAAAAUUUGAGUAUUACUAGUCGAUAACAUAAAUAGUGUCACUGCCUACUUUCUUUGUCAAUUAACAUUAGUGUCUAGUUUCCCUAAGGCUAUGAAGUUGUGUGCACUGUUAAAGUCGUUCAGUUUUAAAAGCUGAAGCUACCUAAUAUUGCAGGAGUGGAACACGUUGGGGGAGAUAUGUUUGAAAAUGUGCCUAAAGGAGACGCCACAUUUAUGAAGGUUAGUGUUUUGGUUAGGUGGUGAUGAUGGAUGAUAGGGACAAACUAGCUAUAAUGCAGUAGUAUUUGUCGUUUUAUGAAACAUCUUUUUGACUUUAGUUUAAACUUUUAAACUUUUCAUUCAAACUUUUUUUGGCUUUUUUUAAUACAAACUUUAAACGUGUUUCUCAUCUUCAAUUCUUACGAGCAAUGCUUGGUCGUCGUGGUCGUAUUUUUUUCCAAUUUCAAAUUUAAAGUAUAGAAUUAUUCUUGCAGAAAACACUGUUGUAAGGGCAGAAAACACAUUUAUGAAGUUUGUUUUAUGGAAAAUGAUGCAUGAGUUAUACCAACCUCAUUCAUUGAGAUCUGACAAUAAGUGAAUUGUACAGUGGAUACUUCAUGAUUGGAGUGAUGAACAGUGUGUGAAACUGUUGAAGAACUGCUAUGAUGCAAUUCCUGAUGAUGGAAAGGUGAUAGUAGUGGAAGCAGUUCUUCCAAAAACACCAGAGACAAAUGAUGCUUAUAAGGCAGUUUCACAAAUGGAUGUUUUGAUGAUGACUCAAAACCCGGGAGGGAAAGAGCGAUGUGAACAAGAGUUCAUGGAUUUGGCAACUGCAGCUGGAUUUAGUGGCAUCAGAUAUGAAUGUCAUGUCAACCUUUUCUGGGUUAUGGAGUUCUUCAAGUAGAUCACACCAUAUGCUAUGCUAUAUGCCUCUGCUUCCUCUGCUUCCUCUGCUCUACUUCUAAUUGUCCAUUUUUGCGUUGCAUGUUUGGUUUUAUGCAUUUUAAAUUAACGGAACAAAGCUCAUGUUGUGUAACAUAUUAUAUUAUAUGCAAAUUUCAAAUUACUUUUAGUUUUGGAAAGAGUUUGAAUAAAUAUUUUUGUGUAUUUCUACUAGAUGAAAGAACAUUUUCUCAUUUCAGUCAAAGAAAUCAAGUCCAUUAAAAACUUCAAAGUUUGAGGUCGACAUUAGAGAUAAAUAAAGUUUUAAGACUGAGAAGACACUCAAGCUGGUUAAAGGUCCAACAUAUUUCGAAUCAUAUUUGACUUUUAAUUAAUUUUUCAAAAUCACUUAAGUACUCCUUAGUUUUUAAAAAUCCAUUAAUAGUCAAAUAUAAUUCAAGAUAUGUUUGUUCUUUAAUUUAAAAUUAUUUAAAUUAAACUUAUGUAAUUAUUAAUAUAUUAUAUAAUUUGUAAUAUGAUUUAUUAUUUAUUAGGUAAUUUGUAGUGUGUUAUAAUAUGUUUAUGUUUUUUUGUUUUUUUAUUUUUUAUUUAAUUUGUAAUAUGUUUUGUUAAUUUUUAUUUAUUAAUUAAUUUUUAAUAUGUGUUAAUGUAUUUAAUUUCUUACGUAAUUUAUAAUAUGUUUAUGUUUUUUUAGUUAUUUAAUUUUUAAUAUGUUAAGUUAUUUUUUAUUUAUUAGUUUAUUUUGUAAUAUGUGUUAGUGUAUUUAUUUUUUAUUUAGUUUAUACUAUGUUUAUGUUUUUAUAUUUAUUUUUUUAAUUUUUAAUAUGUUUUGUUAUUUUUUAUUUAUUAGUUGAUUUUUAACAUGUCUUAAUAUAUUUAAUUUUUUAUUUAAUUGAUAAUAUGUUUAUGUUCUUAUUUAUUAUUUAAUUUUUUAUAUGUUUUGUUAUUUUUUUUUAUUUAUUAGCUAAUUUUUAAUGUGUUAUAUGUAUUUUUAUUUUUUAUUUAAAUUUUAAUAUGGUUUGUUAUUUUUUAUUUAUUAGUUAAUUUAUAACAUGGGUUAACGUAUUUAAUUUUAUAUUUAAUUUACAAUAUGUUUAUGUUUUUUUUAUUAUUUAUUUUUAUUAUGUUUUUGCUAUUUUUUAUUUGUUAUUUAAUUUUUAUUAUGUUUUAAUGUAUUUAAUUUUCAACUUAAGUUAUAAUAUGUGAUGUUUUUUAAAUAUCAUUUAUUUUUAAUGCUUUUUUUCAUUAUUUAAUUUUGAAUUUGUGUUGUUGUUAUUAUUAGACUGAAGAAUAUUUAUUGAUAACUAUAUUUACUGUAGAUUGUGAUUAAUAUUAAAUAAUGAACAAUUAUUUAUUUUAAUUAAUUGAUUAUCAAAUAAACUUGAGUUUCAUAUUUGAAUUUUCCUUUCUCAUAAAUGAAGUGUUUAAGAAUAAUUAUACAAACAACUUUAUCACUAAUCACUGAUAAAUAUUCUUUUAAUAUGAUUAUUCCUCGAUCAUUCCAUAUAAGACAUACUUAAACUUUUACUUAUUUAUGUCUUAUUUUUUAUCACAAUAUUAGUGUGUUUAUGACAGGUUGAGUCUGCGCACACAAAAUAUGAAAUAAAGGUUUGUGGAAAACUAUUUCUGUAUGAAAUAAUUAAACAAUAUAAAAAAUUCAGAAAUGUAUAGUUAAUAACUCAAUUUUUUUUAUACAGAAACAAAUUUAAAUUGCUACCAAAUCAUUCAAAAUUUUGUUAAGACAGUUCUUUUUAUUUAUAUUUGAAUUAGCAAACUUUUAUUAAAAUUUUUAAUUAAAAAAACUUGUAAUUAAAUAAACUAACCCUUUUAAUUUACAUCGAUCAGACCGAAUUUAAAUUCUUUUUUAGUAACUAGUAAAUGAGUGGAAUGAGCUGACCAUGUUCGGGACCGUUUUUACACCACUAUGAAAUACUCGGGUGAGGUUAAGAAUAUGUGGUUGAAACUUCUAUAUCUAUCGUGAUUAAGCAUCCUCAAUGCCUCGUAUAAUAUAAAAGGAAAAAUGCAGAAAGAGUUAGAAGAAGAUAGCAGUGUGCAAAUAUAGAUGACAAGCCUUCCAAAUUCAAGGCUGAACGGCGAAGAGAAGAAGAAGGAAGCAGAAGAAAGAGAAGAUGAAGAAAGCUUCUCGCGUGCCAUGCAGCUUGUGAGCUCCGUNGUGCUACCGAUGGCAGUGCAAUCGGCGACGGAGCUGGGUGUGUUUGAGGUGCUGAAAGAAGCGGGUGAAGGUGCUAAGCUCUCUGCAAAGGACAUAGCNUCCAAGAUUUCCUGCACCAACCCAGAAGCAGCCUCAAUGCUAGAUCGUCUCCUCNCUCUUCUUUCCUCUCACUCCAUUCUUCACUCUNCCCUCNUUUCCGACAACCUUGUCCCUCCCACCUUUCACAGGCUCUACUCCAUCACUCCCCUCGCCACAUUCUUUGCUCGCAAUUCUGAUGGGGUUUCAUUGGGACCCUUGAUGGCCGUGACCCUAGACAAAAUCUUCCUACACAGCUGGUUAAACUCUCUUUCUCUCUGG